ensembl:snoRNA SNORD16 Small nucleolar RNA SNORD16
UGCCAUGAUGUCGUAAUUUGCGCCUUACUCUGUAUACAGUGACAGUUGCCUGCUGUCAUCAGGCUGGUACAGAUGGUUGAUGAUCAGCUAACUCUGAGCA